UGCAGAGAAGUUCGGGGCCUGGUGGACAGGGCUUGGACCUUACAGUCUGGAAGAUCUGAUUUCAAGCCCUGCUGAUGAGGAGGGGAUGGAGGCUUCUCACAGAAUACUGGAAGACCACUGGGGACCAGGAUGAGUAGAGCUGGGAGGAAAAAGUUGAAAAAAAAGAGCAAAUCAGCAAUGGAGACUGUGAUGGUGAAGAUAAAAGGAAGAACAGACAAGGUGACGUCUUCCUAUAUUGUCACCUAACAGCCUACACUGGUCAGACUGGGUACUUUGUGGGUGUGACUGGCAAGAAGAUGAACUAAAAAUUAGGUUAACCUGA